AUACGUAGGGGGCGAGCGUUGUCCGGAAUGAUUGGGCGUAAAGGGCGCGUAGGCGGCGCGGUAAGUCUGGAGUGAAAGUCCUGCUUUCAAGGUGGGAAUUGCUUUGGAUACUGCCGCGCUUGAGUGCAGGAGAGGUUAUCGGAAUUCCCGGUGUAGCGGUGAAAUGCGUAGAGAUCGGGAGGAACACCAGUGGCGAAGGCGGGUAACUGGACUGCAACUGACGCUGAGGCGCGAAAGUGUGGGGAGCAAACAGGAUUAGAUACCCUGGUAGUCCACACUGUAGACGAUGAAUGCUAGGUGUAGGAGGUAUCGACCCCUUCUGUGCCGCAGUAAACACAGUAAGCAUUCCGCCUGGGGAGUACGGUCGCAAGAUUAAAACUCAAAGGAAUUGACGGGG
rnacentral:rRNA from 1 species